CAGGAAAGAGCUUCCUGGGGAAAGGAA
rnacentral:piRNA from 1 species